GAUGAACGCUAGCUACAGGCUUAACACAUGCAAGUCGAGGGGAAACGACAUCGAAAGCUUGCUUUUGAUGGGCGUCGACCGGCGCACGGGUGAGUAACGCGUAUCCAACCUGCCCAUCACUUGGGGAUAACCUUGCGAAAGUAAGACUAAUACCCAAUGAUAUCUCUAGAAGACAUCUGAAAGAGAUUAAAGAUUUAUCGGUGAUGGAUGGGGAUGCGUCUGAUUAGCUUGUUGGCGGGGUAACGGCCCACCAAGGCAACGAUCAGUAGGGGUUCUGAGAGGAAGGUCCCCCACAUUGGAACUGAGACACGGUCCAAACUCCUACGGGAGGCAGCAGUGAGGAAUAUUGGUCAAUGGGCGAGAGCCUGAACCAGCCAAGUAGCGUGCAGGAAGACGGCCCUAUGGGUUGUAAACUGCUUUUAUAAGGGAAUAAAGUGAGAGUCGUGACUCUUUUUGUAUGUACCUUAUGAAAAAGGACCGGCUAAUUCCGUG
rnacentral:rRNA from 1 species